rnacentral:rRNA from 1 species
UGGGGAAUAUUGGACAAUGGGCGAAAGCCUGAUCCAGCCAUGCCGCGUGUGUGAAGAAGGCCUUUUGGUUGUAAAGCACUUUAAGCGAGGAGGAGGCUACCGAGAUUAAUACUCUUGGAUAGUGGACGUUACUCGCAGAAUAAGCACCGGCUAACUCUGUGCCAGCAGCCGCGGUAAUACAGAGGGUGCGAGCGUUAAUCGGAUUUACUGGGCGUAAAGCGUGCGUAGGCGGCUUUUUAAGUCGGAUGUGAAAUCCCUGAGCUUAACUUAGGAAUUGCAUUCGAUACUGGGAAGCUAGAGUAUGGGAGAGGAUGGUAGGAUUCCAGGUGUAACGGUGAAAUGCGUAGAGAUCUGGGGGAAUACCGAUGGCGAAGGCAGCCAUCUGGCCUAAUACUGACGCUGAGGUACGAAAGCAUGGGGAGCAAACAGG